rnacentral:lncRNA from 8 species
AAUUUGGGAAAUGUUUUAAAAACAUUUUUUUCACUUAAAAAAUGUGGAAUAGGUUAUGUAGAUCUAUAGGAUAAAUGUAACCCUUUACAGAUUUUAGAGUUAACCCUUUACACUCGUACGGGUUGAAAAUGGCAGAUUAGGACACUGAUGGGUGCUUAAAUUGGAACGAAGUAACUCUACAGUAACAUGCAAUAUCUGACGUCAGAGCUCAUGGUCUUCACUUCACAGCUCUAAAUGGGAGACCCAUAGAGCGGCGCACAAUUGGCAAAUCGUCGUCCGGGUUCAGCCCAACCUCACAUUCAGUGAAAAACAAACGUGUAAACCAUUUUUAUUGACCAGAAUGUAACUGAAAAUACAAUAGCAGCCUUGCCAUUGUCCAUCAAUACCAAAACAGUUUUUUUUUUUCGUAUAACAUUUUGGGAAAUGUAUGUUGUCAUUGUAAAUGUACAUUUUGUUGGCCAACCAAAAUGAACAAAACGUUAACCCGUACAAAGGUUAGGGUGGAAUUGUACUAUGAGCUGGCUGAGUGUAAAUACAUGGCUCUGAGUGUAAGCAACUUUUCACUAGAAACUUUCUUGUGUUCAAAUUACCGUCAGUGCGAAAUAGCUAGAAAACUUUCGAUUUCAACUUGGCUGCACCUAAGGUUAUGAGAACGAUAAAUCAAGUGCAAUACCUGCGUCGACCUGUGACGAGCAGCAAAACACCGGAAAGCUUCUAGCCUACCGGAAAGUUACAAGAAGAACAAGAAUGGUUACCUCAUCCGGUCAUGUGACAUUUGUUUAUAGAUUUUUCGCCCACACCAGAUGUCUGGACCCUGGACAGAUAACAGAAAUGCACAUUGCCACUCAAUCUGUAUUCAUCUUGUGACAUCUCCUUGGAAGAAGGAGAGAGGGACCCUAAGAGGAACCCUAGGAGGGACAUAAAGGAAUUGAUGAAAUCCUGAUAAGACAGACAAUCAGAUGGUAUGGCCUCUGAGGACCCCCAAGACCAACUGUAUGAGGCUAUUAAAAAGGUAGAACGCCUUGCUGAGGAGCUCAACCAAGAGGACCCACAAGCCCAACUGGACGAGGCCAUUAAUGAGGCAAAAAGGCUGGCUGAGGAGCUCAACCCAGAACAGGAAAAUAAGAAGAAAAAGACAAACAAGGGAUUAGGUUCAGAUGGAGACAAAGGGAUGAGAGAGGACAGAUUGUUCCUCAAACCAGGAAGGCAACUACAUCCACUUCUCUUGCUCCAAGGGCCAGUACAUCAAGAGCCAGACUAGUGCAACAUUUUGGGCCAGUCACUGAGGAGGAAGAAUCAGAUCUUAUUUUAGAGACAAGGACCAGUGGAUUGGAAUCCACUCCAGUUUAAACAUUUAUGAAGAAAUAGAUAUGUUUAAAUUGUUUUACUUUCAAAAUUGGGGUCAUCUUGGUGUUACUGAAUUAUACAGCACUACAUCUUUAUUUUGACAGUGAUGCAACAUUUUUAAAUGUGGCUCAAGUCUCCUGAAUUUCAGAUUUGAGAUCAAAUGUUUGAUAUGAGGUUACAGUACAGAAUGUCACCUUUUAUUUCAGGGCAUUUUCAGACUUUUCUGAUUUACCGUUUGGAAAUGAAAGCACUUUAUAUGUCUAGUCCACCCCCUCCCCCCAUUUGAAGAUGUCAAGUAUUUGGACACAUAUCACUUAGUGGGUUAAAGUUGUCAAAUGUGUAGUAUUUGGUCCCAUAUUCCUUGCACACAAUGACUACAUCAAGAUCUUCUAUUCUUACUUACAAUAAAAGUGACUACAUAAUGACACAUUAUUCACCAUUCAGUUCCUAUUGGGCACAAUAUAAUCUGAAACACAACCAAACAAGCUGUACAAGUUUGUAGAUUCACAAGCUUAAUGUAGUCAUUGUGUUCUAGGAAUAUGGGCCCAAAUACUAAACAUUUGACAACUUUAAUACAUACAUGAAAUGUGUCUAAAUACUUAUGACAUCGUCAAAUGGUGGGGCUAGUUGCAAGUUUUAUUAGUCGUAUGUACAGGAUACUGAUGGUAACACCAUCCAACGAAAUGCUUGCUUGC